rnacentral:rRNA from 1 species
AGUGAACGCUGGCGGUAGGCCUAACACAUGCAAGUCGAACGGCAGCACAGUAAGAGCUUGCUCUUACGGGUGGCGAGUGGCGGACGGGUGAGGAAUACAUCGGAAUCUACUUUUUCGUGGGGGAUAACGUAGGGAAACUUACGCUAAUACCGCAUACGACCUACGGGUGAAAGCAGGGGAUCUUCGGACCUUGCGCGAUUGAAUGAGCCGAGGUCGGAUUAGCUAGUUGGCGGGGUAAAGGCCCACCAAGGGGACGAUCCGUAGCUGGUCUGAGGGGAUGAUCAGCCACACUGGAACUGAGACACGGUCCAGACUCCUCCGGGAGGCAGCAGUGGGGAAUAUUGGACAAUGGGCGCAAGCCUGAUCCAGCCAUACCGCGUGGGUGAAGAAGGCCUUCGGGUUGUAAAGCCCUUUUGUUGGGAAAGAAAAGCAGCAGGUUAAUACCCCGCUGUUCUGACGGUACCCAAAGAAUAAGCACCGGCUAACUUCGUG